AGCGUAGACGGAUGGACAAGUCUGAUGUGAAAGGCUGGGGCUCAACCCCGGGACUGCAUUGGAAACUGCCCGUCUUGAGUGCCGGAGAGGUAAGCGGAAUUCCUAGUGUAGCGGUGAUAUGCGUAGAUAUUAGGAGGAACACCAGUGGCGAAGGCGGCUUACUGGACGGUAACUGACGUUGAGGCUCGAAAGCGUGGGAGCAAACA
rnacentral:rRNA from 1 species